UACGUAGGGGGCAAGCGUUGUCCGGAAUCAUUGGGCGUAAAGAGCGCGUAGGCGGCGCGGUAAGUCGGGUGUGAAAUCUCGGAGCUUAACUUCGAAACUGCAUUCGAUACUGCCGUGCUUGAGGACUGGAGAGGAGACUGGAAUUUACGGUGUAGCGGUGAAAUGCGUAGAUAUCGUAAGGAAGACCAGUGGCGAAGGCGGGUCUCUGGACAGUUCCUGACGCUGAGGCACGAAGGCCAGGGGAGCAAACAGG
rnacentral:rRNA from 1 species